UUCAUAAUAAUAAAAUAAGGGAAAACUUCAAAAACCCCCCCUGUGGUUUCGUGCAUUCUCACUUUGCUACCCUGUGGUUUAAAACGUAUCAAUUUAUCCCAUGUGGUUUCAUUUUUAUCUUUUCGGAAGCUUUUUCGUUAAUAUUACGUUAAAUUAUAUACAAAAAACUUCAGAUAACCAUCUAUAUUUAUCGAAUAGUCACUUUAGUAUUCUUUAAUUUUAACUUUGUCACUGAUUUUUAAAAAAAAUAAUAAUAAAAUUGAUAACAAAAAGAUAAAAACGAAACCACAUGGAGGUAAAUUAAUACGUUUUAAACCACAUGGUAGCAAAGUGAGAAUGCGCGAAACCACAGGGGGGUUUUUGAAGUUUUCCCUAAUAAUAAUAAUACUAAAAUUUAUGAAUCUGCAAAAUAAAAAAAAAUUAAAAUUAAAAUAUUUUUAUAUGAUUAAAAGCAUCUUAGUUUUUCUUUAAUAAAAAUAUUUAAAAUUUUUGUCCUCAUCUUUAAAUAGCGAAGGUACUUUGAUUUUGCUUCCUGAACAAGUCACACAAAAUGAGACUACUUAUAACACUCUACCCUCCGAGCUUCUCGAUACGAUCUAAUCUCCCUCUCUCUCCGUCCGCAUAAUAAUAAUAAAAAGAAAAGAUGCAGUCGCCCGUAGUUAAAUUUGAUCGCAUCCUCUCCGCUCCCUCUCUCGCACCAAAACCCAAACCCUACAACCCUCGCUACCUCAAACCCUCGAUCCCCUCCUCGUCGUCCUCCUCCCUCCCCUUCUCCAAACCCUACCUCCCUAAUCCCCUCCAAUACUCCUCCCCGAUGUGGUGGCGCCGCCUCUCCCGCCCCGUAGUCUCCGCCGCGGCGGCUGUGGCGGCUUCGCAGAGCCGCCACUACGGGCUCAUUCCCAUGGUGAUUGAGCACACCUCCCGCGGCGAGCGGGCCUACGACAUCUUCUCCCGACUCCUUAAGGAGCGGAUCGUGUGUAUCAAUGGUCCCAUCUCCGACGACACCGCGUCCGUCGUGGUGGCGCAGCUGCUCUUCCUCGAGUCGGAGAAUCCGAGCAAGCCCGUGCACCUAUACAUCAACUCUCCCGGAGGUGUCGUCACUGCUGGGCUCGCCAUCUACGACACGAUCCAGUACAUUCGCUCCCCCGUGACCACGCUCUGCAUUGGCCAGGCCGCGUCCAUGGGCUCGCUCCUCCUCGCCGCGGGCGCUCCCGGCGAGCGCCGUGCCCUCCCAAACGCGCGUGUCAUGAUCCACCAGCCCUCCGGCGGCACCACGGGCCAGGCAGCCGACGUCAUCAUCCAUGCCAAGGAGAUCCUCAAGGUCCGUGACCGCCUCAAUGCCAUCUACGCCAAGCACACGCACCAGCCCAUCGACCGGAUCGAGCAGUCCAUGGAUCGCGAUAUGUUCAUGUCGCCCGAGGAGGCCAAGGAGUUCGGUCUUAUUGACGAGGUCAUCGAGCACCGCCCCAUGUCCCUCGUGACUGACGCUGUCGGCAGCGGCGGUGGCGGCGUCGAUGUCCCUCCCGGUCGGGGUGGGAGCGGCGGCGGUGGCGGGAGGCGUGAGACGGAGGAGGUCUCGGUAUGAGCCCUUGAACAUCUGUAUAAUUUAGGUUUGAUCCUAAAAUUUCUGAUCAUUUUCUUAAUUCUGAAUGUUUUUGUUGAACUAAAUUAUGGUUAUUUAUCGAAAGCCAUAAACUUGAAGUUUGUUACGUUUAUGCAGUAUGAUGAUUGCUUUUUUUCACCCUAUUGAAAUAAAUUGAUCGCUACUCAAAAGUCUUCAUUUACAGCUUGGUAGUGGCCAAAGAUCGAAUUUUUUUAUCAGAAUAAAAGUUUAGUUUUUCUCGCUUACUAUCAUUAGGAACUUGAUUGGUACAGAUUGAUAUAAUAUUAAUAUUUAGUGAGUCUUGAGCAUUGGACUAGUGUUGAUUCCAAUAAUGAGAAUAGCAUGAACACAAAUACAUUUUAGAUGUAUGAAAAAAAUGAAACUCAUGAAUAUUUUUUGAAAAUAGGUCUAAAAGUAAUAAUAUGAAUAUGAGGCUUGAAGUACAAAACAUAUUUCUUGAUGUACGACAAACAAAUUAGAUGGGCAAAUUGUUUAUUUGAUUGUCCCUUGCUUGAGUUCUUGCAAAUUAUGUGCUCUCCUGUAACUCCAGUCUUAUUGUUGUAGUACAGAGGUUUAGGAAUCUAUAUCAGAAAGAUAUGAAAUCAUUUUAUGACGAAAUUGGAAGAAAAAGAAGGAUCCACUGUCUUAGCUUUCUUGUCGUUGUUAUAAGAUGAGUAGGCAGAUAUCGGGUUUCUAGGCCCUAAAUAGUAGUCGACUUUUGCUAAUAUUAUCUUUCCACAAAAGUUGUAACUUUGUAACAUUCAAACCCUUGUUUAAAGUUCCCCAAGCAGAAGAUGUGAAAUUCAUUGAAAUCUGAUCUUAUCAUUCUGAGUAACUAGGUGGCUAGUCUUCUGGUUUUCAACGUCUCUGGCUGCAUAUGCCAAUUACAACUAAAAAUUUUGGUUUUAGUUUGAUUUCCAAUAGAAUAGUGAAGGGAAAGAGAACCUCCUGUCUGCCUCAUUCAUUCUGAUUUGAUUCUCUCUAGAACUCUCUCGAAGUCAUUUCAUCUAUGUAUAUUACAUGAAAAUGGUCAUCUCCUUAUUCUAUUAAUGAUUAGUAACAAAAGUUACUUCUCUUAUUCCAUCCUGGAAGGAGUUUAAAAUCGUUGAGAACCUACUUGAGUCAGUACUGUUGAUAUGCUAGAAGAGAUAUUGAAAAUUAGCAAUUAACCGAUACACAAUGCAUUCUAGCAUCCGCUCCUUAAAUGUGUUUGUUUUCUCGCACUGCUGUAGGCAGGAAAAGUGUAUCCAAAGCGUCCUUUUGAUAUACGAAAUAGAAAUAGAAUACAAGGGUUAUUUAGCAUGAGUGUUUUUUCUUUUGUUGUUUAAUCAAACACUAACAGUUACUGUACCACAUUUCCAAGUCAUAAUCAGGCUUUGUAGGUCGUAGUCUCUAUUGAUUUUGUGGCUCCAUUUCCGAGUCAUAAUCAGGCUUUGUAGGUCGUAGUCUCUCUUGAUUUUGUGGCUGUUUGGGCAUGCAGUCGCGCUGCGCAAGCGCCAGAAAACAGGGUUUUGAGAAAGCUCUGUGAGGGGAGCUCUCUCAAAAAGCCGUGCGGUGUAACGUACGGCCAGCUCGUAGGCUGCACCGCGUGGCCAAAUUGGGCCGUAGUUGUGCACCUAAAUGUUUUACAAGACUUGCAGAUAACAAUCAGACCUUACUAGGGGCAGGGACCAGACUAUAGAGCCUACUUAAUUAAAAAAAAUUCGGGCUUGCUUUCUCAAUUCACAUCUAUGAGCGAUGAUUCCUCUAUUUCUUGCUUGCUUCGAUCGGACUCUUUUCUUGCUUGCUUCGAUCGGACUCUGACAGCUUAGGGAAGAAUGAUGGGUCGCUAACAAGGCCCCUAAAUGACUGCUCAGAGGGCCUACCCUUUUUUUUUUCUUCCCAAUAUGUCGCUUGCUUGUCCCUUUCUCAUAAAAGAUUCUCUCAUGUUGUUCUAGAACGGAAGAGGAGAAAAGAACAGUUUUUUGUAAGCACUUAAUUAUAUUAAAAAAAAACAGAAGAGAUUGCUUUUAUAGUUUUCUGCUUUCUUUUGUCACUGUCAAGUGAAAAACCGGUAUGAGUUAGUUGCAGCAGCUUUCUUUCUUUCUUUCUUUCUUUCGAUCUUCUUCUCUUGUUUUUGUUUCUUUUGUGUUCGUGUGUGUGAAGCAAAGUAUAUGCGACUGCAAAGGAUAAGCGACUAUGGAACAUGAGAAGAGGACGACGACACAGUUUGUAGCAUUCUAGCACGUAUCUCUCACGCAGCAGUAGCUGUAGCAUUAAACUUAAUGGAAGGACAACUAAUUAUUUGCUCAUAAUCAUGCUGCGUUUUUCUUUUUCUUUUCUUUUCUUUUUUUUUUUUUUUUUUUUUUUUUUUUUUUUUUUUUUUUUUUUUUCUGUUUUCUAUGUUUUUCAUUGUCCAUAAGGUAUGCAGUGUUUACGUUUAGAAUUACAAAAAUACCAUCUUGUAUGUAUAUGUAUCUGAGAAAGAGCGAGUGGUGAAAACUUGUAAACAGGCCAUCGUUAAUGAGAGAGAGAAUGGGAAAAGGCAGGUAGGAUGUUUGGUUUGGUUGAAUUUAUGACUUCGAUAAGUCAUAGACAUCAACAUUCAUUUCAAUAUUAAAAUUACAAAAUUAUUUGAAUUUUCAUUCACAAUUGUAUGAAAUUUCCACUUUAGUGGAAUAGGAGACAAAAUCAAGAUAGUGAAACUCAACGAGUUCUUCAAACAGCUACAUAGCCUUCGCACUCAAUUAACUCGAACUACUAUAAAAAAAAAACAUGCACUGUUCUUGAUUAUUAAUACAUAAACAAGCAACAUAUGACUGUCUAUACAAGAAGGGAACAAUUCUCUAUAAAAUUCCAUCUUUACCAAGCAACAACUCCGUUUACCAAGCCAAAAUUUGAACAAGCAACUCAAUCAGACCAACAGUAUGUCAACCAAGUUUUUAUCAGACACAAGGAAGUCCUAUGAAUUCAUUUUCAUUUUAGUACAUUUACUGAUACAAAGAGUGAUACAAUAUUCCAUCUCCUUUCCCCCAAAAAUAUCUCAAAACUCAUUAAUUGAUUUUGUACAAACAAAUCCCUCCAAACAAUAGCCAAGGCAGGAAACAAACAAAAAACAAGGUGUAAUGAAUGAAUGACCAAAUAAAGAACUUACUGGUUCAACAUCUCUGCUCUAACACAAGAAAGAGUAGAGUCGACACCAACUUUUCUAGCGAUCUCCGAAAGAUGGAAUUCCCUAUCUAGCCUACAUUGUUUUAUUCACCCAACUUUCAGUAGACCUUUUCUGCUUGUAGAGAAUAUAUAUAUAUACCGUAUAAACCCUGCUCACUUAAAUAUUUAGGCAGUGUUUGGUUCCAUGUGAAGAGCCCCAAAACAAUUUUCAGACUGAAAAGGAAUUUUCCUUGUGUUUGGUUCCACGUAAGAUGCUUUUCAGUGGAAACAACAAUACAUAUCUUCAGAAAAACAUUCGGUUUCAUUUUCGGUAUUUUUCAGGCAAAAACACAAACUGAAAACUGAAAUUUCCUCUCCCCACACUCGCUUCAUUUCCUUUGCCCGCAAACCAAACAGGUAUCCCUUUAAAACCAUUUUUUUUGUGUUUUUUACUGCAUCAAACACCAACAUAUAAAAAUUUUCUUUUCCACUGAAAGCACUUUCCUCUGGAAACCGUCUUCAACAGUUUUACGUGGAACCAAACACUGGUUUAACUUAAAUGUAAGGAAAAAAAAUGAAAUUGUAAUGUCAUGGUAUCAACUGAAAAGGAGAACAGGGAAGAUAAGAAGGAUCAGCCUAAUCCAGAGCAGCUUUAUUUCGCCUAGCAGUAGCAGGCUUUGCGGGCUUCGGAAGACCAUCAAAAAUGGGCCAAGCAAAUGUAUCGGGUUUCAAACUCCACUUGCUCGAAGACCAUAUAGAGGAGCUACUAUCCGAAUCUUGCAAAUUAGAAGUGCUCGAUGAUUUCCGAACAGUUAGCAACCCAUCAAUUAGUGAAGGGUCAACCAGAGAAACAAGAUUCUGUUGGCUCAGGUCUAUAUCAGGACGGCUUCCCGAUUUCGGCCUCAAAGCUAGCCCUUUUCCUGCCUUUCGAGAAAACCCUAAAGGCUCGGAAUCACCCUUUUGACGCCGCCUUAUUGAUUUUUCAUUAUCACUCUCUGCAGCUUCAUCAAUUCUUCUUUCUCCAAUGAUCUCAGAAUUUUCAAAAUAUAAUUCAUUAACCAUACUUUUAGACUUUUUAUGCCGAUUCGGAAGUGGUUCGGAAUUCGGAGAGUGUUGAGGCAAUAAUUGUUCAUCUUUCAUAUAAAGAGACUUAUCAGUUUUAUAAACUGCCAUUUUGGUGCCAUCAAAUAGUGGGCCCCUCUUAGGAGGCGUGAGGCCAUAAUAUCCCUGCAAUCGACUCAUGGCUGGGGAGAUUUUACAUGGUGGUGGUUUCAGCUUCAGUGUUUCAAGGGAGUAUAAAAUAUCACUCCGAGGUCGACGUGGAGGAGUCAGUUCUCUGCAAUAAUUCCAAUUAUUACGAGAGAAACAAAGGCACUAAUUCAAAAGAGAAAAUCAUGUUACAGCAUUAGUUAAUUAAAACAUAAGAUGACCCUCCACCAUUCGCAUUUUCAAUGAAGUUUGUAAUCAUCUUUUAACAACACUGAAAAGCUCCGACAUAGUACAGGCAAGGAAAAUAAAUUGCAAUAUGAAGAUAAUUAAUUAAAAUCUACUGUUGUUCAUGGUUCUAUUACUUUGCUAAGCCUAACACAGGUCAAAAUAAAAAAUGUCUUAGACAACUUAAAUUAAUCCAAUUCAGAAUGAUCACCGCGAACUAAGUAAAUGCAGAGAAAACAGAAAAAUAACCUUAUAGAUGGAUGCCCAUAAAUACUUAUAAUUAUACUUUUCAGCCAGAAUUUAUGGUUUUUUCUCCCUCCUUUUCUGUGACAAAAGAAAAUUUCUAGCUGCUUGAAGCCCAAAAGACAGUACAGAAGCUCAAAAACUAUAGGUUAUUAAACAGGAUAUAAAAAGGCAUACAUAUAGUGAAGAGUUCAGAAUUGGUCUGACAAAACGAACAUAAGGUGCGUAGUGGUUCUGACAAGUCAUCAUCAUAUCCCUUAACAUAUUACUAGAUUGUUGGAGAAUGCUUACAAUUCACAACUGAAAAUUCUAAACUAUGACACAUAAUUAUCAUAGGAGGUAGCAGAAUAACAUAUAGCUUAGUUAACCUUCAAAAUUAAAUAUUCCUAAGACAUUCGAGUAACUGGUUUUCUGUGAUAUCAAACGAGUAUUUUCUGCGCAGUAAUUAUAUUUGUUUAUCACAAUACUGUAUGAUGAAAAACUAGACAGUCAGUAUUAAAACAUUUUGUAAGCUUUCUGGUAAUAUGCUUUCUCCAUUAAGAAUUACUUCAACUUAAACUUAGCCAUUGUCCCAGUUCCAACAGUUCAGCACAAGAGACAACAGAGCCCAUAAAAAAUAGCAAAAGAAACAAAAUAUUAAAAGAAUGUUCCAAUACAAACAAUUAAAAAAGUUGUGAUCAAACAUAAAACAAACAAGAGAAAGUUACCACACCUGCCAUUUGCCGAGUCCUCUGACACAAAAGGAGAUGGAGGAUGCUUUCCAGGAAGCGGAAUCUUCAAUGACUUGCGAGCAAACAUUUGAAGAUCGGUCAUCAAGCUGUUCAACCGCCUAAUAUCUGCUACCUAAUUCAACAAAGGUGCGUUACUCAGCUUAUGAAGUGCACCCCAAAGACUAAAGAAGAAAAGAAGGGAAAAAGGACAGCGAGCUAAAUAUAAGAAUCUGAUGAAUUUGACCAUCGAAGCAAAAAUGUUCAAACUAGAAGUUCAUCCGUAUAAUGUAAAAUUUGACUAGCACCAUUUGCGCAACAACCAUAACAGGCUAGAAACCGAGGAUAACUAACUAAAGAAUCAUCACUUAUUUUCCAACAAAUCUCCAUUCAUCUGUUCUUACAGGUUUUGUCUAAGCUGCUACCACCUACAAUGAUACAGAUACUAAAUACACAACAAGUUCCUCUUUAACAACAAAAAACCAAGGUCCCAAGUGGCAAAGGGUUUGGUGGUUGGUAUCAGAAGUCCCAAGUUCGAAUUCUAGUUGAUUCAUAUUUACAGCUAAGUUUAUUUCUAAAUGAAAUAAACGAAGCGGGUAGCGUGCUAUCCACAUUUGAUGGACGAUUCAUUACUAACGUUCGAUUACACAUUUUAGCAGGCAUGCACUAGAAUCCAACACACCGCCGUAUAAGUCAACUAGCAAAACCAUACAAAAAAUGGUUCUAUUCCCAGUUACCUCCACACCAUACUUUAUGGCAACCCCGGCGAGCGUAUCCAUCUUCGACACUCGGUGCUCGAUGUAGCCACCACACGACGAAGACGACGACGGAGGAGAAGAGGGGAGAGACGAAGAAGACGACACCGGGAUCGUCGCAAUGCUAUCGAUCUCCCCCCUUCGAUCGACGAAUCCAUCGAACAAACCACCCCUUCGAUCGACGAAUCCAUCGAACAAACCAUUCGAUUGUGGCUCGUAACUCCCAUUUCGUCCACCUUUCUCCCUCUGCAUCAUCAAACGCUUCGAUUCCCCUCUCUCCGCUCACAUCCGAAGCCAAUGCUUCGUUCCACGGAUCAAUCGAUAGCCAUGGACGAGGAUCGAGCGAUCGCACGGGCCCAAUCGCUAGAAUACUGCAUGAGAAGCCGAAUUUUCUCGAAAUUUCUCGAAAAAUUCGUGGGAUUUCGCCGCGGAAGAGCUGGAUCGGUGGAUCUGGGUUAACUUUUUGCGAGGAAACAAACAAAAUCCUUCGAAUCAAAGGAUGCGAUGCGCGAAAUGCGAGUCCAAGCCCCUAAAAUUUUCCCCGAAGCUGGGAUUGAUGAGGAAAGAUUGGGAGUUGAAUGAAAACGCGACAGGGAUACGGACCGUUGGAUUAAACUCGAACAAGGGCGAUUCCCUGGACCAACCCACCGCGCGUGAUUUGGUGGUGCCGUUGGAAUAAAUGAAUACUUAAAAUUUUUAUUGAAUAUACCCGGUGCACCGUAAACUAUACACCGAAGCACAACUUUUGAUGAUAAAUAAUCUAAACUCCAAAAUUUCUCAAAAAAAAAAAAAAUUCUAAACUCCAAAUCUAAAAACACACGACAAAUUUUAAAUUUUAUUAUUCACCUAUUAUGUCCCUUAGAAAAAGAAUAUUGGUUGGCUUAACAAAAAAAGAAAUUGUGCAAAUUUUAUGAUUUUAUAUAUGUUUGCCUGUUAAAUGUUACGUAGCAUAUCUAAUAAGGCUUUGAUUUGGAAAUAAAUCGCUUAAAAGCACUGUAUUUGAUACUUUUACAAUAUCCAGCAAUUUUUACCAAAUUUGAAUUUUUUUAAUUUCAGCACUCUUCUGAAUUAUAAACCAUUUUGAUUCAAAACUAUCUAAUCUUCAAAAAUUUAAUUCUAGCAUCCAAUUUUUUUUAAUUUAUUUGAUUUAAGCCAUUUAAUGACUAUUUUGAAUAUAAAAUUUAUGCUUAUUAUUAGCUUCGAUAAAUUUAUAGUCAUCUAAAUUACAUAAAAUAUAUCAACUAAAUUUAUAAAGAUAAACAACAUACUCAAAUUUUGAAAUUAAAGAAUUAUUAUCUGACUCAAAUCAAAUAAAUUAAUAGAUUAGAUAACAAAAUCAAAACUUUUAAAAAUUAUGUAGUUAGAUUAAAAUCAAUCGGCAAUAUAGUUGAGAUAUGUUUUUAACAUUUUUGCCUCUUUCUUACUGUCUCACUCACAACAAUAAUAUUGAUUUGAAAUUAAUCCUAUGCGAUAUAAUUAAUACAAAAGACUUUUUAUUGCAUUUAAGCUUAGUUUGAUAUUGAGACUCAUAUGACGUUAUUAGAUAGCAUAUAAGGGAUGUACUUCUUUGUUUUUCAAUAUAAUCGCAGAAAAUACAUCGUAACUAACUCAUCGCGAUGUCCGAAACGUAAUAUUAUGUACGGAAAUAAAUUUGAUAUUUUUCUAUCGUACUUUUUAACUGUAUAUAACGUAAUUUUUCCGCAAUUUCAAAUAAAAUCUUAGACCUAUAAUAUCAGUUUUGUGGUACGUAUUUUGAAAAUGUGUAAUAUACCUUUUUAUUAUUGAAAAAAAUACUUCGUUGUAUAGAUCUCGCUAAUUCAACUAUGAUAUAAUUUGAUGGUCUCAUCCAGAAGAGUAUCUUUGUUGAGUUAUUUGCUUCACUGGUUUAUAGUAUUUUGAAAAUGCCACGAGGUUUUGAAGGUUGCAAGAUUUAUAUAUUCCUGUUAAUGGAGCAUUUAUGAUUCCUACCUUAGUUAUGUGAAUGCUAAAACUUUUAAUUGAUGGUAUUACAAUAUAAUAAUUCCCAUUUAUUGAGAAUCUAUAACAGCUACAUAAUUUUGCUAAUAUUUUUUAUAUUUUUUUCAACUUGCAUGGUCCAAAAUCUUUUGGACCCCUUAUGUAAGGGGCCCGAAUUACCGAAAGACUUGUUGGGCUCGAAUCCGUGUCGCCCGCUAUCUCACCCGAAUCCGAGAACGCUAGAUUAGAGUAGAACGGAUUUAGUUGUAGCGCCUUGUCGGAUUCAGUAGUUUAGACCCGAUUGGCCCUAGAAAGGUAAAUCCCGAGGUCACGUCAUCAACACAGGGUUGACUCGUCGAAACCGAAGUUCCGAACCCGGAGCGAUACCCCGGCCCACGUUGACCCCGUCGAGACUCGAUCCGAACGAACCAAACGACACCUCGCCAAAAGAGGGAAAGCGCCACCGCGACGCUCCUCCCGCGGCGAUAGAGGGUGGGGGGAACGAUGAUGGGGUCGCUAAACCUAACCCUCGCCGCGAUCUCGUGGUCGCUUCUCCUCCUCCUCUCACCAUCGGUGGCCACCUCCGCCGCCGCCGCCGCCGCCGCGAAGGCGGCGGCGCCGCCGGAGUCGAGGCCGGAGUGGGAAACCCUCACCAAGAGGAACUACUCUUCCCAGAUCCGUCUCCAUCCCAACGUCCUCCUCAUGGUCACCGUCCCCUGUAAGUAGUUCCCGUUUCCUUGUUUGAUCUAUGUAAAAUUUAAGUUUUAGGGAGGGUUCAACAAAGGUUUUGUUCGGAGCUGUUUUUGGUGCCGAUAUAUGAGAGAGGUCGGAUCUUGUUUCGUUUUGAUUGAUAUGCCUGGUUACGACAAUUGUGCCUUUUGAUUGAUUUGAAUGCGAUUAUAGAUGCCACCGAAGCUGGAUUUGGCUUUUUUUUUUUUGUACAUUUAUUCUUGUUCCCGAAAUUAGGGUUUGGUGUGGGAAAGAAGGAUGGUGUCAAUCUCUUAGGUACACUUCUCAGCUGCGUUGGUGCCUUAUGCUAAGCUGAUUUAGAAGAUUAAGCAAUAUCUCAGCUGUAAUCAUGAUCUUUUGUGUAAUUUGUUGAGGAAUUAGUUGUGUUUCAUAGUUACAGAAUAGCUUCACUGAAAAAACAGAAUGAAAAUUAAGAGCAUUUCAUAUAAUGUCCUAAUCCAAGAUAAACUUGUCUGGUUAAAUACUUCUGAAGAAAACCAAUAGAUGUUGCAAUCACUUCAAUUUUGUCUAUAAUUACUGAAUUAGUUUGUUUAUCCUCUUCGUGAAGUUAGAACAAAGAGUUCAUCAGUAAUGCAACUAUUAUGGACAAUUUAAAUUUGGAAAAGAGCAUGAAUUUUUAUCAGGGAGGAUGGUCUGCAAUGGGUGUAGAAAUACUUCCGAAUUGUCGACUUUUUUAAUCUGCCGGAUCCUCUUCUUUACCUUGCAUGGCUAGCUUAGUAUGUCUUAAUGUGUUUGAGUGUCAUUUCGUUUCCCAUUUUCCGAGCCUUGGAGCUGUUACUUAUCUACAGGGUCUGGAGAGUCACGUUCCCUAAUGGACGAAAUAAAGCAUCUAGUCGCUAUUAAUGGGCUGGAGUUCGGUCCUCUAAAGUUGAUGAUUGUUUAUAGAAAUUCUGAGAAGAUGCUAGCAGAUGUUCUUGGUGCUGCUGAGGGAAUAAGUCUGUUUUACUAUCAUCAUUCUACUUCAUACAAGUAUGGCGGGAGGCUCCGUGCACAAAAUAUAUUAUCUUCCGUGUAUCAUAUUAUGUCACUUAAACAUGAUGAAAUCCCUUUGAAGCCCCUGCGUACUCGGGAAGAGCUUGAGAAUUUUCUCCAGUCAACCGAUAAAUCUGUACUUCUGCUGGAUUUCUGCGGGUGGACUGCCAAAUUGAUGCAGAAAAGUAAAGAUGGAGCAUAUGAGAGUUCCUCAGCAUCAAACAAUAAGUCGUUAAAUGGUUUGUCAUCUCCUAUUAUUUUUGACAACCCUUUGCUUUCUUUUUUUUCAUUUUUGUAGAUAUCCAAAUGGAGUCUAUUUGAGAGUUGCCAAUUAAUCAGGAAUUUGCAUUAUUGAAUCUCAAUCAAGAAAGCUGGUAUUAUGAAACUUUCUUUUAUCAUUUAGUGGGUAAGCCUUCCUUAUUAGGUUCUGUAGGGUCAACUUCACAGACAGGUUACUUAUCAGGUGCUUUUUGUACUUGUGAAAUAACACCUACAUUCAAGGUUCUGCCAGGUAAGAUAUGCUUAUUUAUGUUGAGCCGUCAAAGGAUAGAAGCUCCUCGACUACUGUCUAGGUUUCUGUUUUUGUAUUGUUGAUGCAUAAGAAGGAUCACUGCCAUAAAAUUGUUUUGUAUCAUGCAUUUCGCUAUGAUUCUGUCUAGUGAAUGUAGGAACAUGUUUAUAUGGAAAAUUCAGAUUCAUAAGUUACAGCCUCUUAAUUGUUCGAAACUUGAGCCACUUCUAGAUCUUUGUUUGUCUAUGAUGUGCAUUUAACUAAUGAUAUAUUCUAAACUAGAUUCUUGAAUUUAGAAUCUUUAUAUGCUCAUAUUCUGCAGCUUACAUCACUGGAGAAGUCAACAUGGAAUCAGAUGGGAGACCAGAAGUCAGCAUUGACGAGAAGGUUUCUUGUACUUUCUAAUGAACUACUUUUGGUUCUUUUUUUGAUCAGAAGUUAAUAAAAAUCCAUCAGGUGGCAAGAAAUCCUGGUUAUGAAUUUAUUUGGGAUCAAAAACAGGUUGUGGAAAAUGAAGAACUAAAUUUUGGGGCUGAAGCUCAGGUAAUUGGUUCUCCCUGGGAGGGUGGAUUUGCUUUGGCAAAUCAAAGUGUCUCACAGCAAAUUGAGAAUAGAGAGGCCGAUACUGGAAUGACAUGUAUGAUGGAAGAGUUUAAGUUGUUUGAGUCUUUCUAUACAAAGUUUGUAGCUCUUGCAAGAGAAUAUUUUUUGCCCCCUGAGAGGCAGAGAUAUGGUUUGGUGUCUGAAAGAUCAUUGUUACCUUUAUUGGGCAUCGACAGCCAAGAGAUGUGGCUACUUAUGGUACAUUUUUCAGGAUGCCCCAACUGUUCAAUCAUAGUUAAAGAAGGAGACCAGAUUAGAACUGUCUUGCAAAGUCAUCAUCCUCUCGUCAAGGAGGUAGCCUUUUCAGUUUCUUAAUUAGCUUUUUACCUACAAAUUAUAUUAUAUUCUAACUAAUUUUAGUUUUUAAUUCUUAAACUGUUUUGUUUCUUAUUGUAGCUUGAGGUUGAUGGGCACAACAUUGAUGCUACUUUUCCGGCAAACAGGCCUUCAAUAGUUCUAUUUGUUGAUAGGUCAUCAGAAUCAUCUAUAGUAAGAGGAGAAAGCAAGUUAUCUCUUGAGGUUCUCAGAAAGUUUGCACGGCAAAAUCAGCUAUCUUACCGAAUGUUUGAAGGACUACACAACAAUAGCUCUGAGAUUCCUCUUCGAGCUCCUCGUGGAAGUAGUAGUAAAAGUAAGACCGGAUUGGAUUCUCUUGUCCCUAAGAUAAUGAAAAUAAGGGAUAAUAUGGCUGUAAUGGUUGUUGAUAAUGGUGAAAGAAUUUCAGUAAAAAACAGCGACAAUGAUCACCAAGGCAAUACUUUGUUUGAUAUUGUGGCACAAUUGCUUCAGCAAACAAAAUCUGCACAUACAGAAAAGCAGACCAGAAUUAGUUUACUAGCAAAGGAAGUUGGCUUUCAGCUGUUAUCCGAAGAUUUUGAAGUUCGGGUGGUGGAUUCCUUGCGAGCUUAUGAGGGAAAUGGUGAGUCAGAGGUUGUGAUCGAGGGUGCAGUUACCAGUUUAAAGGAUCAAACUCCUGCAAUUCUUGGCGAGAAUUUUGAUAACAAUAUGAGUACAACGGAUAGUGAUAAAAAAGACACCAUCGAUAAAACUCAAGAUACGGAAACUGAUUUAAUUUCUAAUAUUCUCUACGAAACUUCCGCUGGCUUUAUUCGUAUGAAAGAUAAUGAUCUUUUCGAUGCAACUGACAAAACUGGAGUGGUAGAGGACAAAAAAUCUGAUGUUAAAGAUCUGGAAGAUAAUCCUCAUCAAAUUCAAGAAGUCCCUGGUAAUGACGACAAACUUGCAGAUACAGUAGGUAAUGAGGUAAGGGAAAUUGAGAUAAGUGAUUUCGAGAGCACAAAAGCUAAUGAGUUUCAACUUGGGGAAGAACUGCAUAAUUUUGAGGAAGACAUUAAAGAGCAUCAUGUUGGCAGUGUGGAGGGCAACCUAGAUACACCCAAGGAAGCUGCAGUAAAUUCGAUCUCUACUUCCCCAAGUUUUUCUGAUGAGGGCUUAGAAGAAUUUAGAUCUACAUUAGUGAGAAAUUUGGAUGGGCUGAAUAAUGAGUUUGGACCUUUUCUAGGUUCUGUUUUUGUGAUUGAUGCUGGGUAUCGGCUGCUGAGAUCUCUAACUGCUCGAUCUAGUGUUCCUUCUCUGGUAAUACUUGAUCCAAUUUUUCAAGAGCAUUAUGUUUUUCCUGAGGAAACAGAAAUCAGCUACUCUUCGGUAGUUAAUUUUGUAGACAAAUUUCUGAACCGAAGUCUCUCUCCGUAUCAACGUUCCGCUUCAUCUAUUACAACUACAAAGGAAUUCCCAAGGCCACCAUUUGUAAAUCUGGAUUUCCAUGAGGCCUAUGCUGUACCUCGAGUGACGGCAAACACAUUUUGUGAACUAGUUAUUGGAAUUAGAGCCUGCAAAUUUGAAAAAGGAGUAUCUUCAGACUCUGAAAAUUUUACAUCUGCUUGGACGAAUGAUAUUUUGGUGCUUUUCAGCAAUUCUUGGUGCGGAUUUUGCCAGCGCAUGGAGCUUGUUGUGCGUGAAGUAUACCGGGCUUUUAAGAACUAUAUGACCGUGUCCGCCGUUCAUGCAAAGAACAUUGAUCCUUUGCAUUUUGAAGGUAGUCAUAUUUUAUAUUUUUAGGUAUAUGAUCUCUCAAAAGGCACGUGGGUGUGUUUUAGUGACCUGGGUUUACUUUUUUUGUCUCGCAGAUAAUAGUGGAGAAUCUCUCCUAAGUAGUCCACCAAUUGUAUACUUGAUGGAUUGCACACUGAAUGACUGUUCUUCAUUCUUAAGGCCUAUGGGGAAGGUAACAGUUCUAAUCAGUGUAUAAAAAUGUUAGCAUGAUACCAUCAUCUAGUUCAUCUUUCCUUCAGAUCAUGAACGUUCUAACUUCCAAUUCUCAAAUGGUGAAACUGUUAAGAUCUCCUGCUAAUCUUUUACUUUUAUCUGGGGGAGUGCUCCAUUGGCCGUUCUGUAUGAACACGCAUUUGCUUUUUUAAUUGUGUAUACUUUUCUAACUUGAAACAUGCAGGAACUUUACCCAACAUUAGUGCUUUAUCCAGCAGAGAAUAAAACUGGCAUUUUUUACGAAGGUGACAUGUCAGUCAUCAACAUUAUGGAAUUCUUGGAAUCUCAUGGAAGCAAUUCUCACUAUCUGACUAAGCAUAAAGGUAGAUAUCGUAUUACUCUUUUAAGUCUUUCGGUUUUCACUUUGUAAGACAUAACCAGAAGCAAAUGUCUCUUAGCUGGUGUCUCUUUGCACUAACUAUGCCGUGAAUCGUCUUAGUUAUAUUUUUUCUCUCUGUAAAUACUACCUUAAUGGAAUAAAUUUUUUUUUUUUCUGUGGCAGGAUUCUUGUGGACUCAUGCUAGAGAACAAAAUGAGGAAAGAUCAAAUUUACAUGAUGCAUCUUUGACAGUGCAAGCGCUCGAUUACAGUGAAGCUGGUAUAGCAGUCGGACAGGAUAGCAGUCGCUUGCAUUAUGAGAGAGAACCUAUUGUUGUGGGCUCCAUCCUUACUGCCACCGAUAAGCUUGUGAAUGCCGUCCCAUUCGACAACUCAACAAUCCUCAUUGUAUCAGCUGACCCACAAGAUGGCUUUCAAGGCUUGAUCAUCAAUAAGCCUUUAAAAUGGGACAUAUUUAAGGAUCAAUUCAAUGAGAUAGCACCUCUAAAGCAAGCACCCCUUUUCUAUGGAGGCCCUGUCACUCUCCAAAGCUUUCCUCUUGUUAGUAUGGCCCGAAAAGCUUUCGAGGGGUAUGUGGAUGUAAUACAGGGAGUUUAUUUCGGCAAUCCGGUGGCUACGAGCUCGGUAAUAAGACAGAUAAAGUUGGGAGAUCGAUCUGUUGAUGAUUUCUGGUUUUUUCUAGGUUACUCUGGUUGGGCAUACGACCAACUGUUUGAUGAGUUGAAUGGAGGAUCGUGGCAUUUAAGCGACCAUCCGAUCGAACACUUAGAUUGGCCGGAAAGCUGAAGUGUAUUUACUCUGUCAUGUUUGUAGACACUUGACAAAUUUAAGCAGUGAGGGAAUUGUAAGUUUGAAACUCGUGCUAGAUGAGAGGUUAGAGUUUGUAUUAAUAUUGUCAAUUUUGUUGUUUAACCAUUCUCCUUUUGCUUGAGAAGUGUACUAUCUAAUUAUGCUCUCUGGAUUUUCAAGAGGAAAGGGACAUCAUGCUGUUCUAUGACGCCCCACUUUUUAGGGGGUCACCCGCGCCUAUUGGACGGGUCUGUCACGAUCGGAGAUACUUGAUUGCUGAGACUUGCACGCGGUGUCAGUGGUGUCGGAAUUCAUUGAGCUCUCUGUCUGCUGCUGCUGCCGCCGCUUGGUUUCAAAGAGUAUUUCGAUCCGUAGCAGGCACUGGUGCAUGCCGGACGACUCUGUCAUGAUUGGAGAUGCUUAGACGCUGAAACUUACGUGCGGUGUCGGCGUUGUUGGAGUCCAUUGAGCUCUUAAAAAAAUAGAGUAACUGAGAGAGGAAUAAUAUUAGGUAUCAUGGAUACAUAUAUAUCUUCUAAGGUAACUCAGAUUUUGCAAAUGGAAUAUUAACAAAUCCUAUAUAGAAUCCGCACUAGAAACUAGAAAUAAGGGACUUACUUAAAAAGGCAAAUUCGGAAGUAAUAAUUAAGGGUAAAUUUUAAAUUACCAACAAGAAAAAAAAAAAUUUCUUUAUGCUUUUAGCACAGUCUCUUUGGAAUUGAAAGCGGUACGUUAUUCUCCGUACUAAGCGAAUCAUUUUAAAUUACAGGGAUUUUUUAGCAAUUUUUCUAAUUUUAAAUGUUAUUCUUGGACCAAUAUCCGGUCCAAGUGGUUCGUGGGCUAAGGUUGGAACUAGGCCGACCGGGCCCAGUAAGUGGGCCCAAACCAAGGCCUAGUAAUCACUUUCACCGGAAGGCGGAGCUCCGAGAAAUCUCUCAUUUUCGGCUUUUCACCCUCGUCUCUCGUCUCCUUUCCUUCCGUUAGGGUUCAGAGCAAACCCUAGAAUCCGCAUCGACCCCGCGAAAAACCCCUCCCGGAACCCCAAAAACCCUUAAAGGCGAAACAGAACCCUAGCUUCGGUAAUCCUAGAUCGAUCAGAGCCUCGGCCCUACGAGGCGAAUAAUCGAAAGGUAGUGGCUCCUCAAAUGUCAUUUCGAUCGAUUUCUUGUUCUUUUCUAUGAUUUUAUUUUAUUUUUUAGUCUUUUUUUGGAUUGAAAUCGACAGUAGUUGGCAAUAAAAUCACUAUCUGAUUUAGGACUUUUUCGUGUGGAUUAUUCAAAAAUUUAAAUGCGGCGCUUGGAACAAGUUAAGGAAGAGAAAAGCUAUUCCAAAUUUGUUUGCAAAAACUAGUUAUUUAUGAUAUUGUUAUACAUCUGUGCAGUACUGAUGCAUUGUAGGCUAUAAUAGAUUUUGGUCUUAUUUGAUAGCUGGUAUUGUGCUUCAUAUUCAUAAUUUUUUGCUUUAAAAAUUGUAUAUUUUACAUUCUGUAUAAUCAGAGCCCCUUUUUUAGCUUAAUUUUGCUAUUCUUUGCAUGCCUUUUUAAUUUUGCCUGUGGAGAAACGAAAUUAACAUUUCCCAGUUUAAAUCCUAACGCCUGUAGAGUUGAUAUCAAUGGCACAUUAAGUGACACAAAGCCAUAAUAAUAAAGUAUUCAUUUUUCAAAUGCUGUACCUGUGCUUCUGAAAGUUGAUAUUUUUUAGCUAUGUCUUUUAUAAUGUAAAUAUUGCAUAGAUACUGCUUUAUAUGUAACAUAUUGCAAUUACACAACCCCAUUUUUUUUUUUAAAAAACACUAGAUAAGAGAUUAUGGAUAUGACGCGUCCUUACACCUCUAUAUAUCACCUCCACAGGUAAGAUAUGUCAACAUCGGCACGACUUUCACAGGAGGAACAAUCUUCAGCUUCCACUGAGACACCAAUAUCUCAAAUUGUAGAAUCACCUAUUGGAGGACAAAAUUCUACUCUGCCACCUUCAGUAUCAACCUCCUUAACCUCACCUUCGCCUAUUGGAGGACCGACUUCUAGCACGGCGACACAAACUGCAUCUACUCCAGCUCAAGAUUCUGCUCCAUCAACUACACUGAUUGCUCCCAUAACUCAUGCUGCAAACCCAGCAGCUCCAAGGGGUAUUCUUGUAAAUCCAAAUGACCCAUCCCAAGAUCCGGUUCGAGCUAAAUAUGCUGGCUCACCAGGCUAUGUUGUCCCUGCUCCGUCUUUUUCUUACAAUGCGUUCCCUAGGGUGAGCCCUGCAGUGGGGAGCAACCAGCAAUCUUCACCGGCACCUGUAAGACACUUUUUUGGGUGAAGUAGAAAUUAAAUAACCUAAACUGCGACCCUAGCAGCUUUACAGUGUUUCUAUUUCAUCCUCAGAGUUUCAGUGGUGGCAUCCUUUUGAGAUGACCAGUUAUAGAAUGACUUAAUUAUUGUCCGGAACAAAACUUUAGGGGCGAAAUUCUCAAAAUUGAAAGCAUUAGGAUGAAACUGAAAUUACAGUCAGACUUCAUAUAUCACUUACAUAUAUAUAUAUAUAUAUAUAUAUAUAUAUAUAUAUAUAUAUAUAGUCCGUCUCCCGUACUUUCGAAAGUACGGAGCACCCGGUGCUUGUAAGUUGUUUUCGAUGAUAGGACGUUCGUUUCGACGAUCGGCUCGUUAGGUAUGAUCUACCCUAUUGGAACUAUCUAGAAACCAAAUUUUAGAUUUUUUGACAUCAUUUACUAAGGCAUCAAAAGGUCUAAAAAAUACUAUUUUAACGGUCGAUGUUGACAUUUUUAAGUUCAACGGUGUAGAAGUAUCCAAAUUACAUGAAAUUUAAUAGAAAAUUUUACUUAACAUCAGUUGCAAGAUCAAUACUUCCGACUUAAAUUUGAAUCCUUUAUCACUGUUUUUUAUGAGAUUUUCAUUUUCAGCCGUUCAUUUUGAGGCUACUCGUUCACAUAGACAAACGAAAUCAAAAAUUAUGAAAUUUGGUUUCUAGAUAGUUCCAAUAGCGUAGAUCAGUUAACGAAAUCGAUCGCUGAAUCGGAUGUCCCAUCAUCGAAAACAAGCUACAACGGGGCUCCCGUACUUUCGAAAGCAUAGGAGCCUUAGCUCUUAUAUAUAUAUAUAAUAUAUAUAGGUUAAGUGCCGCCCCGUGCCUGCCACAAGAAGGUGGCCACGGUACAGGGGGGUCUUGGACCCCCUCCGUGGCGUGGACGCAGCGCAGUGCCGCAUGGACAGAGCGGCACAGCGCAGCUGCCACGGCACAAGUGCCGUGGCCGGCACUAUGCUAAUUUUUUUUUGCUUUUUGUUUUUUUUUCUCUUUUGUUUUGUUCUUUUGAGGUAUGCCAAUAGCAAUUCUAGAUACCCCACGCCCCUCCCCAAUGACAUUGCAAAUCGAAAUUUACUUAUGAGGUAAGUCAAAAAAAUUGUAAUUUAAUUUUUUUUGUUUAUCAAUAUACGGACAAAAGAUUUGUCCGAGCUUUUUGCUUCUAUCAUAGAUAUCUAUUUUUCCUUCAUAAAUUAUUUUAUUAAAAUUUGUCGCACUGCAAAUUUUUUGGCAAAUUAAGAGAACAAAAUCGAACUCAAUAAACAAAUUCGAGCCACAUCAAAUAUAAAAUUUUAUUUUUGUGCUAAAAGAUUGAAAAUACUGAUAAAAUUAAAAGCUAAAUUAAAUCAAUUGAUACUUAAAUUUAUUUAAUUUAUUUGUCAUAUAAUUUAUUGCUUAAUUUUAUUGAUAGAUCUACUAUUUUUUGAAAAAAAUUAUUAAAAAAAUAAUUUUUCAAAUACUUUUUAAAAUAAUUUUUUCAAAUAUUUUUUAAAAUAAUUUUUAAAAUAAUUUUUUGUAUUUUAUAAAAGAAAGACUGUAAUAUGGUCAAAAAAAAGAAAAAAAGAUAUCUUUGCAUUUUAAAAAUUCUAACAUGUAAAAAUUUCUAUUCUACAUCAGAUAUAAUUAUACUUUACAUACAGAAAAGUUUACAAAUAUGUUAAUUGAUGAAUAUAGUAAGCUAUAUAUAGCAAAUAUUCAUAAUUAUUUGAUUAAAUUUUUUAAAAUAACAUUAUAAGAGCUUAUUGGAACCAAAAAAAUUGAAAUAAGUCCGUGCCAAAGCGUGCCAGUAGGAGGUCGUGCGUAUCCAUCGGCACGCAAGCGUAUCACGUGUCGGCACGGAAGCGUGCCGGUGCCGUACCGUGCCAGGCAGACAAUGGCACCCCCCCGUGCCACGGCACUUUAAACCUUUAUAUAUAUAUAUAUAUAUAGUCCGGCUAUGGUGCUUGUAAAAGCACAAAGCACUUGGUAUUUGUAAAUUUUUUACCGUUAGAUUAUACUAUUCAACUAAUCACCCACUCAACUCUAAGGGGCCCACAUCAUCCUAACCGCAUAUCCCUUAAUCCAAGGGCCGAAAACUUACAAGCACCAAUGACUUAGUACUUUUAAAAGCAUAGGAGCUCAAUUCUAUAUAUAUAUAUAUAUACUCGUAACUAAUCCUUCUUUUUUCAGGCAUUCGUUUAUUCAAAUGUUCUGUUUUACAGUUUUGAUUUGUUAACUCAUCUGAGUUGGUUUUAUUGCAGGCAUUCAGAUUGACUCCUCCAAUGCCUCCAGCAGCACUUCAACCGCCUGUACCUGGGCAGUAUUUAGGGAACAGACCUUCUUUCUCAUAUAAUGUAGUCCCGCAUGCUAAUUCUAGUUUGCCUACUGGUCAGCAGUUUCAACUUAACACUGUAAUUCUCAUUUCUUUGUAUUUUUUGUGACUCAAAAUUGUGAUUUCCUAUUCUUUAGGUCUACACUCUGAUCGAUUCAUUUUAUCUUUAUACAUUCUGUCUCUUUCAGGCUGCAAAUCAAGCUCACUUGCAAAGUGGAAACAUUGUCCCACAAAAUACUGCUGUACGAUCACAACCUCCAGUUCCAAUGCUAUCUGUUCGUCCUAACACAAUUUUCUCUGGACCUAUCAUGCCAAAUCCUCCGGCACCUGUUAGGUUGCCAGUACCUAUGCCAAAAGGAGAUCCAUCAAAACCAAGUAACUUUUCUUUCAGCAGCAAUUCACCACAGGCACCAGUAGAAGCAUCUGAGAAAGAAUUACCUUCUAACACAGUAUGUUUUUCACUUCUAGUUUAGUCAUGUUGAAUAUUAAUUUAGUGAGGCCUAGCUAGUUUGGAGCUUUUACGUUUAUAUUCCUCGAAAAUGUAAAUUUGAUGUGUUACAUAUUUAUCCCUUCUAAAAUCUACAAUUUUAUCUGUGCCUGUUAAAAGUGUAGAUUCACAUAAAGAUAGCCUUUAAUUAUGAAGUCAUCUAAGUCCUAGGGGAAUUUGAUUUUAUAAUUGACAUGUUUAUUUUGUAAUCAACAUUGUUUUCAAAAGAGGUCAUUUUCAAAUAGCAGACAUUUAAUUUCAGAUUUUGCAUCGAUGUGUAAACAAAGCUUUUGUUGUGGUUUUUAUGCAAAUUUCUCAUCUAUUUUUUGGAUGAUCGCAGGGAAAUUCAGGUGCUGUGGCUUUGGAAUCUGGUUCAUCCGGAACAUCAGUAACUUCCCAGCCUUCAUCAAGUUCUGGGACAUCUGUACCUAAUCCUUCGUUAGUCUCUUCUACUACUACGAGCCAUUCGACAACUAUGACUUCUCCUAUGAGACCCUUAGUUCCAUCUUCUGCUUCUCUGAUUCACACUUCAACUUCUCCAACUCCGGUUAUACAGAAUGUUCACCAGUUUUAUCCAACCUAUCCUUCAGCACCUGCUGUUGUUCCACCUUCACAGCCUCCUUGGGUUCAUACUCCACAAGUUGGUAGCUUGCAACGCCCACCAAUCUUACCGUAUGCUAUUGGCCCUCCUGCACUAUUUCCUUCACUGAUGCAUGGUGUGCCUCAGUCUGCUACUCCACUAAAUAAUUUUUGGCCUCCCGGCGUUUCCACCAAUGUUUCUUCCGAAGAACCAAAAUCAACCAGUGCAGGAUCUCAACAAAUUGCUGAUUCUUUGGUCACUAAAUCACCUCCUACAGGCAACAAUUUGAUGAUUUCUCUUGACCAACUACUUCGGAGCAAGUAGACUGCAAAUUUCUCAUUAUUCUGUUGUAUGUUCUUUCAGAUCAUGAUAAAGAAACUAGCGAUCUUCGCAAAGAAGAAGGAACUGUGAAGACUGAAGAUGCUGAUGCAUGGACUGCACACAGGACGGAAUCUGGUGUGGUCUAUUAUUACAAUUCUGUAACGAAAGAAUCCACCUAUGAAAAACCUGCUGGCUUUAAGGGGGAGGUAGUUGCACAGAAGAUUUACUUUAUCAAGUAAUAUGGCUCAUAUUGUAGUUUAUUAGUUGAAAAUUCAGUAAUGCUAUUUGGUUGAUUGAUUCUUUUUUAUGUUUCCUUCUGCAGCCAGAGAAGGUAUCAACACCGUCAGUACCAGUUUCGUGGUAUGUCUGGCUGAAUGUGCUUUUUGUCUCUUUCUUUCAGCUGUAUUAGAUUAAAGUUUGUACUAGCAAUUUAUUGUUUCCGAGUUCAACAUGCAUUGAACUCACAUCAUAGCAGACUGCUCUAUGAGUAUUUUAUUGUCUCUUUUUUUUUUUUUAAAUCUUUGUAGCUUUGUUUUUGAGCUUGGGUAACCUUUGUGCCCAAAGUUCUUAGGAAACUAUCUGACAUCGACUAUGGGAAUUUAGUAAACUCCCUCUUGUUAUAUGAAGAGAAACUAUAGCGUGAAUUAUUUUUUUCCAAAUAUAGCAACCUUCUACAUGUUAACUUAAAACUUGAUAGUCUGAUGUUAACUUUGAUAAUUCCAGUCAUUGUUUUAUGUGCCUAGAAAAGGUGUACAUAUAUGUUGGUACGCACUAUUUAUGUUGCAAGAGGCACAAUUCUACAAUUAAAUCAUUUUUUAUCUUGUUCAGGGAGAAGCUGCCUGGAACUGAUUGGACCUUAGUGACCACUAAUGAUGGAAAGAAGUACUAUUAUGAUGCCAAGAACAAGGUAGUUUGUGUUUGAACUAUAAAUUGCUAUGCAUGGAAAGAGAUUUGUUUGUCAUAAUAUUGAUGAUUGUUGCAAAUGUAGAGUAGUUAGAAACAAUGUUCUCAAUAGUUGAAUUGUCUUUGUUCUUGCAAGCAUUAUCAUUGAGUGUCCCAGUGUUGGAGUGUAAGCUUCUAGUCUUAGUUUUCAUAUCAAUGUGACUGUUUGGAUGUGGAGAAAUAUGCAUGUAUUUGUCUUGCUUCCUGAGCAAAUUCCACUCUAUCUUUUAGUAGGCACUAAUGUUCUAAAUGUGGCAUGGUUUCAGUAGAUAAGAUUAAGUAUCCUUAAUAUGAAAUUAUGUGUUUAUAUCGCUGGGCUAUACUGAAGCAAAGUAUACUUAAGAUUUGGUUGCUGAUGUGAAGGUUGAGAUCUGUGUUGAUUGAAUAUUAAAGUAUGGCAGGAGGGCAAGUUAAAAUAAAAAUAAAACAUUCCUCUUUUUUUUUGUCUGAUAGAUGCUUUGGUGUACCAAUUUACCUGAAAAUUGUGUCAGUAUUUUCUUGAGGUGUGGCUGUAGUAAAUUGGGUUCCCUUAUUCAAUUAGCAUCAGUGGCUUCUACUGUAGUGAGUUCUAUAGAGCACUCAUGAGUCAUGUGGAGAGUGGUUUCUUGUCAAAAAUAGUGGAGAUGGCCUAAUAAGCUGGGUGUGAAUUAUGAAUUAAUUAUUUGGUGCUGUUGUAUAAUUUGCAGAUAUACCGCUUUAUAUGGAAGUAAAACAAAAUAUUUCUGGUGGAGAUUCAAGCACCGUACUUAUAAUUCGUCUUGUUAUAAUGUUAUCCCCUGUGGUUACUUUUGUACUUUGGUGCUAAUGAUAAUCUCGAUCUCUGCUGUUUGGUUAUUGAAAAGAUGUCUCAAGUAUUUGCUUUAUGAUGACAUAAAAUUCUAAUUUUUAAGUGCGUUUCCUUUGUUAAGUGAUGUUGAUUACAAAGCAAAAGCAUGAUUUGCUGUAUCUUUAAUGUGUCUAAGAUUUUGCAUUUUUUUAAUCCAGGUUAGUUGCUGGCAACUCCCACCAGAGAUAGCAGAGCUGAAAAAAAAUCAAGAGAAUGAUUCCCUCAAAGAAAAUGUGACCCAACUGCAAAACUCUGGCUUAUUACCAGAUAAAGGGUCUGCGACUGUCAGUGCGAGCGCUCCUGCUGCGCUGACAGGUGGCCGUGAUUCAGUGUCUCUGAGGACGUCAGGUACACCAGUUUCGUCGUCAGCAUUGGAUCUGAUCAAAAAGAAGCUUCAGGAUGCUGGCACUCCCGGCACCACACCUCCUCCGGCUGUGGGGUCUGGUACAUCUGAUUUGAAUGGCUCAAAAGCAGUUGAGGCUGCAGCUAAGGGACAGCAAGUUUCUAAUAACAAGGAUAAGCCGAGAGGUACUGAUGGGGAUGGACUUAUGUCGGAGUCCUCAUCUGAUUCAGAUGAUGAGGAAAGCGGACCGACUAAAGAGGAAUGCAUUAUUCAGUUCAAGGUAGUGUUUUUUUUUUCCCCUUCAUAGUUCUUUGGAUGUCUUGUGUGAAGUUCAAAGAUAUUGCCUCUAUGCUCGGUCAGUUCGAUGUCUCUGUUGAAAGAGAUGACUUAUCUAAGAAAAUUUUUUGCCUGCUUACUUGCAGUGGUGCUUUUGUGCCUUUUUUUAACUAAAUCAUUUUUCUUGUUCUUAGUUCAAAAAAUACGGCCAUAGCUUGGCAUGCUAAACUUAAGAAAUCGGGUCUUUUGAUCUGAUAUUUAUUGCAUAGUCUGAAAUCUGAGAUUGAUGCGUGCAAUUUUGCAGGAGAUGCUCAAAGAACGAGGAGUGGCACCAUUUUCAAAGUGGGAGAAAGAGCUGCCGAAGAUAGUGUUUGAUCCACGCUUUAAGGUUUGUUGACUCUAAAGAUUAUAAAUUUUCGUCCUGCGCUACACCUGUAACACUAUGUUUCAGGUUUGUCAGAUCCAUGUAUAUGCUCACUUUGUGAGAAGAAAUUUUUUUGUUCUUUAUCUUUCCCUUCUUGCCAUGCUAGCUUCUUCGCUUUAAUAGGGAAGUUUUAAUUUGUCAUUGAUUUGUCCUAGCAUGGCAAGCAUAAUUUCCUGUUUGGUUUUUCUUUUUUUCCUCCCUUUUUUGGGUGUUCCUGAUAUUUACAGGACUUUGAAUCCUAUGAGUUAAAUCAUAAAUAGCUCCUCUUUUGCAGGCUAUUCCUAGUUAUUCCGCUAGGCGGGCUAUCUUUGAGCAUUAUGUUCGGACACGUGCUGAAGAGGAGCGCAAAGAAAAAAGAGCCGCUCAAAAGGCUGCAAUGGAGGCAUUUAAACAAUUACUAGAAGAAGCCUCAGAGGUUUAAUGCUGAAUUCCUUGAUCUCUUCUUUUUUUUUUUAUUUUUGUUUGUAGAGAAAAUGAAUCCUUGGAUUUCUACUCUAAUCUGGGCAAAUUUAACCAGUUGGAGGAGUUUAUGUAAUAUAUAUAUAUAUAUAUAUAUAGUCGAGCUUCUAUGCUUUUAAAAGCACAAAGUCAUUGGUGCUUGUAGGUUUUCGGCCCUUAGAUUAAGGGAUAUGCAGUUAGGAUGAUAAUGGUCCCUUAGGGUUGAGUAGGUAGUUGGUUGAAUAGUAUGAUCUAACAGAUGAAAAUGGUCAAAGCGGUAGAUGUAACUACGGAAAACUUACAAGCACCAAGUGCUUGGUGUUUUUAAAAGAACUAUAUAUAUAUAUAUAUAUAUAGUCCGGCUGGGAUACUAUCGAUAGUACCAAGUGCUUGGUGCUACCGAGUUUUCCGCCGUUAGAUUUAACCCUUUGACUAUUUUUACCCAUUAGAUUAUACUAUUCAACCAAUAACUCACUCAACCCUAGGAGGCCCAUAUCAUUCUAAUCGUAUAUUUUUUCAUUCAAGGGCCGAAAACUAAUAGCAUCAAUAGCUUGGUGCUAUUGAUAGUAUUCCAGCCUAGUUCUAUAUGUAUAUAUAAUAUUAAAGUGGGUUAUAGCAUGUGAUGGUAGUAGUAAUGGAUUCAUUUCAGGAUAUUGAUCACAAAACUGACUACCGGACAUUUAAAAGAAAAUGGGGCAGUGAUCCACGAUUUGAGGCCUUAGAUCGGAAGGAACGGGAGCUUCUUUUCAAUGAGAAGUAGGCUUAAUCUCCCAUUCUGUUUUUUUUCCUUUUUUUUUUGGCACUUGUUUCUCUUAAGUUUCGUCUUACCAAUCUUCACUAUAUAUUCACGGUGUUGUGUAGGGUAAAGGCUGCUGACGAGAAUUUUAAAGCAAUACGGAUGGCUACUAUUACUAGCUUCAAGUCAAUGCUUCAGGAAAGUGGAGACAUAACUUUGAAUAGCCGGUGGUCCAAGGUGAGUUACUGAGUUUUUUUGAACAAAUAUCUCCUAGCUUAUUAUAUUUACUCUCAUAGAUUAUGUCAUAGAUAUUUGGAGGUAAUUUGGUUUCUCUAUUUGUCUCUGUGAUGUUGUUGCCAUCAGUUGGAAUUUGGACCAAAUGGUUGACAUUUAGAGUAGUUCAAAAGAAAAGAAAUACACAUUUUGGUGUGCUAUUUUGGCUUUUUUAUUUCUGGUUCAGUUUAAUUCUAAUGUACUGCUCUUUUUGCUAGGUGAAAGAUAAUUUUAGGAAUGAUCCACGGUACAAAGCAGUAAAUCAUGAAGAGAGAGAGAUUUUAUUUAAUGAGCAUAUAACUGAACUAAAAUCUGCCGAAGACGAAGCUGAACGAUCUGCCAAAUCUAAAAUGGAUGAACAGGUAUUCAUAAGAUUUAUUUCUUUACUAAUGUUUUAAUAUGGAAUUGUUAUAUGAUGGCGACACUGCAUUGAUUCUAGGAUAUUGGGCAUGAAACCUGAUUUUGAAAUUGUGUAAUGUUUCAAAUAUUUUUUUCAGGAGAAAUUAAGGGAGAGAGAACGUGAAACGAGAAAAAGAAAAGAAAGAGAGGAACAAGAAAUGGAGAGAGUAAGAUUAAAGAUUAGGAAGAAGGAGGCUAUAGCAUCUUAUCAAGCUUUACUUGUCGAAGCAAUAAAAGACCCAAAGGUGAUUUUACACUGUAAAGUUGCAUUUUGGUACUAACCUUUUUCAUUUGGACCAUUGCUUUUUGUACUGUUAAACCUUGAUGUUUUACUCUUUUCUAUAGGCUUCUUGGACUGAAUCCAAGCCAAAGCUAGAGAAGGAUCCCCAAUGCCGCGCAACAAAUCCAGAUCUCGGCCAAGGUGAUGCAGAGAAGUUAUUUAGGGAGCAUAUUAAGGAGUUGUGCGAGGUAAACUGUUACUACUAGCAUGCAUCUGCUUAUAGUGUUUGUUCGCCACAAUGUACUAUGUUAGAAGCACCACUAGUUAAACUGAAACUCGGAUGCUAUUAAAGUAUACCUGUCGAUGAGUUUUUUGCUGUUCAUUAAACCAUUCCCACUUUAUUUCUGCCCUAGUUUUCUACCGCAAGAAGAGCCUAUUGAAAUGAGUACCUGAACUUUAGAAGUCUUAACACUGAACAGUUCAAUAACAUCAAACUUUUCCUCUGAUGGUAUUAGUUUGAAAUUCCGCAUUCGUCAUGUUUAUGUGAUUAUGUUAGAACAUGGUAUGGAUUCUAUAUUUCAUGCAUUUCUGUAUGCGACGGGAAAAAAACUCACCGCACUAUGGGUUCUGUCCAGCGAUGUGCUCGCGAAUACCGCACACUUCUCUCGGAAAUCAUAACUCCCGAAGCGGCAGCCCAACCGGCAGAUGAUGGUAAGACUGUUCUGACUUCUUGGAGCGAGGCGAAACGCAUUCUGAAGCCCGACCCAAGGUACUCCAAGUUGCCCAGCAAGGAUCGUGAGUCUAUUUGGCGCCGAUAUGCUGAUGACAUGAUCCGGAAGCAGAAGCAGAAGUCCGAUUCAAAGGAGAAACCUGAUACAAAUGGGAGAAAUAGAACCUCCACUGAUCCUUCGAGGAGGUCCAAUGGCUGGAGGUAGCUUUUCGUGUAGAUUGAUCUGUUGUUUUUGUUUUCCGCUAUUGUAGAAAACUGUUCGAUAUCAGCUGCAAAACGAGAGUAAGCUUGUCGGGCUUUUAGCAUUAACACUUGCAAUUUCGUUAUUUGUAGUAGAACGAAAAUAAUCAUCCGAGGUUUCGUCUCUAUUAUUAUAGAUAUAGAUAGGACUUAAAAACUCGUCAAUUCUUUUUCUUUUCUUUUCUCUAUUUUUGGGUGUUAGUGGUAUUCAUGUAACACUUUGACACGUUGUUGGAGAUGUAACACUUUUGUUAACGGAUGGAAAACUCAGGUUGAUAUUUUCAGAUGGACGGCAUUGGAGGAGGGGAAAUGCUUCGAGAAACUGCUAAAGGGAGGGAAUAAUUUGAUAUCCAAAUCCCAAUUGAAACCAAAAUAAAAAUGCUCUAUCCUCACUACCUGGGGGUGUUUUUUUAUUUUUUUUUAUUUUUUUGGUUAAGGAUCUUGUAAUGUUUCCCGUUCCAAUAAAAUAUGAGAUGGAAGUCUAGGAGAAAAGGAAAAAGAACAAAAGUAGCCAAAGAAGCCCUUGUCCAACCGUUUCUUGGGGAUUUUUUUUUUUCGUUAUUGUAGUAAAUAAGAAAGUUAUUAGAAGGUCUUGCAACAUGGUUUAAAUUUUUUUACCAAAUAAUGUUGGACCAUUCUUAAUACCAAUUGGAUCCUUAAUAAUUUCAAAACUACAAUCCUACUGGCCAAGUAUUUCCGUAAAGUUAUUUUUCUUAAAAUAAGUUCCCUAAGACCUGGCGGCCCCACUGUGUAGGGCUUAAUAUUUUCCAGCCUAAAAUCAGUUUCCAACCUUAAAUCUUAUUAUUAUCUCUACUAAAAUGUAGUUUUAUUAGAAACAAAGAGUAAAAAAAUACGAGGAAAACACCUCCUCUGUAACAUACUAUUCACCCUAACUCUAGGUCUAAAAGAUCUUAAGCCGACACCCCCCACCACAUCAAAAACGGCGCCUAAAAACCGCCCCUUCCUUUCAUUCACGGGGACCAUUUCCCAAAAAAUAAUGGCCCUUCAACUCCUCCUCGCGCACAAAAUAACCACUCCUCCGCCGGCCGCCGCCCGCCAAUCUCCUCCGCCGGCGCGCCUCUCUCCGCCCUCCCGCCCCUCCCCCCUCCUCUCCCCUCCCUCUUCAUCAUCAUCAUGCAUCAUCAGCUUCGUCUUCUUCGUCGUCUUCGGUCUUCUACUCCUUCGCCACAUUUCUCUGCAGCGGCUCAAAUGCUUUGAUCCGGCGCCGAGGCCGACCCGGAGCGCGUGGCGGAGCUCUUCCUUCGGCGUCGGCCAGCGUCCGCGCUUCUACGCGUCAGCGCCCGCUCUUCUCCAUCGCCGUGCUGAAGCUCUCCCGCGCCUUUCGCGACGCCCCGACCUCGUGCGGCGCCUCCUCGACCCGCUCCUCGCCUCGCCGCUCGCCCCCGCCUCCGAGGGCUUCCUCGCCCGCGUCCUCUCCCUCUACUCCUCCGCCUCCCUCCCCGACGCCGCCGCCGACGCCUUCCUCCGCCCCCCCCCCCACCCCCGCUCCGACCUCGCCCUCUCCGCCCUCCUCUCCGCCUUCCUCCACAACCGCCGCUUCCGCGACCUCCGCCUCGCCUUCGACCGCGCCCACCCGCCGCCCGGCGUCGCCUCCCACAACGUCCUCCUCCGCGCCCUCUGCGAGACCGGCGACGUCGCGGGCGCCCGCAACCUGCUCGACGAAAUGUCCCGCCCCGACAACUCCCGCCCCGCCCCCAACGUCGUCUCCUACAACACCCUCCUCACCGCCUACCUCAAGAACAGCGGCGAAGGCGCCGGCGACGAGGACUUGGACGAAAAAUUCGACGAGAUCCUCCACGAGAUCGCGCGCCGGGGAAUCGAGCCGAGCGUCGUCACGUUCAACUGCCGGAUCGCCCGGUUCUGCGCCAAAGGCGAGAGCUUUAAGGCCGAGGAGCUGCUCGACGUGAUGCUUGCCAAGGGGAUCCGGCCGAACCUCGGCACCUUCAACGCGCUGAUUGCGGGUUUCUGCAAGGAAGGGGACGCGGAUGCGGCGGUUGGGGUUUUCAAGAGGAUGAAGGCGAUGAAGAGGCGGAACGGGAGUGACGGCGUCGCGCCGAAUGCCGACACGUACGUCGCGCUGCUGCGCGCUCUGAUUUGGAAGGGGGAUUUUGAGGGGGCUCUGGGGAUCUGCAGGGAGUGCUUGGCCAGGAAGGUCGCGCCGCCCUUCGAGGUGACAAAAGGAUUGAUUGAGGGUUUGGUGAGGGAGUCGAAGGUCGAGGAGGCGAGGGACGUCGCAGAGAAGAUGAGGGCGGUGGUUAGAGGCGACGCGAAGGAUGCUUGGGAUAAAGUUGAAGGUGAGCUCUCUUUGGAGAAGGGAACCGAGGAUUCAGGGCAAUGAAUUAUUGCCAACGAAUAGGAAAUAGGUGAGAUCUUCUUUUGUGCUUUGAAAUGAAGAACAAGAAGAUGGUUUAUGACACAUGAAGCGGAUGAAACUAAACGCAAGUUCAUAUCAUCGAAUGCUUGUUGUGUACAUCGUCUAGCGAGGUGUUUGGAUUGAUGCAAAUGCUUUUCGAUCAUAAACGUAGUUGGAGUAGAAACAUUUGUUUAGUUGUCGAUCAUGAUAAUAUUGAGGACAUAUGCCGCCGCCACCGCCGCCUAGUUAUGAACUGCAUCUUGAAUUGUUUCAACAAAGAUGAAUUUGGAACUUUUGCAGGGACAUCUUUUCGCGACGAAUUGAGUUCCAUGGCUACGAGGUGGAUCUCUUCUGUACCAUUGUAGGUGACAGCUAAUCUAAUAUUUUUACUCUGGCUAAACUUGAUCUACGAUCAGUUUGUAAUAACAUCAAUCCAAGCGCCCCUCAAAGGGCUGAUAUUUCGACUCGAGCUCUUCUCGCGGUGUUUCAGAAUUAUUUUGUUUUUUUUUUCUUUCUAGAAUUACAUGCCUAUGUUGUCAAAACAUGUGUUUUUUGUUCUAUUUGUGACUUUGUUAAUCGUUGACGAUAUACUUUGUUGCUGCAUCAAAAGACCAAUUAAUCAAUAAAAUUAUGCAUGUAUGCCCUUUUCAAUUACUUAUCAGCUUGGGUCUUGUACAUAGUUCAGUAGUUCACUAACAGAGUUUGAAGCUUAUGUAAUUCUUUCAAUUGUGUGGCGUUUCCUGUAGCUAGUCAUCUGCUUCCAAAUUUAUUAUGCUCUGUUAUUCGAAGGCGACAAGCAUAGGAAUAGUUAAUUCUGUUUUCAUGUAAAGCUGUGGAAGUGAAUUUGUGGUUCACAGGCAUGAUUGGAUUCAUGAUGUGGAAAUAGAUAAGCAUAUAAUUUGUACAUAGGAAACUUUUCGUUUGGUUGCUUAUGGUUGGAAACUGCAUUUGGAGAUUCAUUAUUUUGCUCGCUAGGUUGUGAGAUUACCAUCAAUAUAGAAAUUUCUGUAUAUAGGAGAUGAUGAGAUGUGUAACAUUGUCUUUAAAAUAUAGAAGCUGCAUGUUUACUUGCAUCUAGUUUGGGUGGAGCUCUGCUCUUCCUGUGUAAAGUGUAGUACAUAGAUACAUCUGCUGGAAACAAAAGAAAAGUUUCAAUUAUUUUUUGUAGUAGUUAUAGUGCAGUUGAGAGAUAAAUGCAUUUAGAGAUACAGGCGACCAAUCGAAACGAACUAUGAUGGUUCAAUCAAAAAGUUACCUCCAAAGACUAAUUCCUUUAGAAAUCUAAGAUUCAAAUCCAUAACUUCCCUCCGAAAAACCCUAGACCAAUAGUUUACUAUCACUGUAGACUCCUAACUACAAUGCCCUCAAAAGUAAUCCCAGGUCCAAAUGCUAACACCAGCCCCCACUCCUCACCUUCCCCUUCAUUCUUCUUCUUCAUCUUCAACUCCUCCCUCAUGUAAUCCAUCACAUAAAACACAGUGUUACUGCUCGCAUUUCCGUAAUCCAUCAAUGCCCUCCUACUGCUUUGUAGCUUCUCCGGCCUCAGCCCGAGGCUGCUCUCGACCCGGUUCAGUAUUGCCGGCCCGCCGGGGUGAACCGCCCAGAACAGCUCGUUGAAGCCCUUCUUUAAGCCGGCUUUUUCCAUAAGCACUUUGCAGAAGCUUUCUAUGUGAUUUUCUAUCAUCUGUGGAAGAUCCCUCCCUAGUUUGAAGUAGAUCCCUUCCUCCGAGAUUCGGCCGUCGAUCACGUUGUGCGUGCCGGGGAGGAACUGCUGGACCGCAUGGUCGAGCUCCAUGAAGGGGAAUUCGACUCCGGGGACUGGAUCGGUGCCGACGAUCGCAGCCGCCGCACCGUCUCCGAAGAGCGCGGCACCAACGAGGUCGUAAGGCCGGGAGGGGUUCGGCGGGCGGAAGCCGAGGAUGGUGGUCUCAGAGGUGGCCACGAGGACGCGGCUCCCUGGGUUGUUCUCGGCGAUGUCCUUGGCGACGCGGAGGCCCGUGACCCCGCCGUAGCAGCCAUGGAAGUAGAGCGCCACGCGGCCAGCGUCGGGGCGGAGGCCGAGGCGCGCGGCGAGGCGGAGGUCGCCCCCCGGGAGGCGGAGCUCGCUGGAGGAGACGUAGACGACGUGGGUGAUGUCGGCAGCAGGGCGGCACCACUCGGCGAUGCAGGCGAGGCUCGCGGCGGCUGCCAUGUCGAGCACGGCAGCGUUGGCGAUGUCGAGGCGCUGCGUGAUGGUCGGGGAGCCCUCUGUCGCGAGCUCCGGGUACUUGUCAAGGAUCUCCUGCGAAAUCACCGUAUAUCUCGUCUUCACGGUGGUGUUCUUGCCUAUAAAAGAAAAAAAAUUUUUUGCUCAUGAUCAAGGAUAUCUGUAAGAUUACUGCUAGUUCUGCCAAGUGCUUCCUAAGUUUUAUGUAAGUUCAAGUUGAAAUAUAAAUGAAAAACUACUCCAUUCUUUAUCCACUCUGUCAGAUCUUCAAAUCAUCUGAGUGGUUUAUCAAUUUUCUCUAUAAUCUCAAACAUCAAUUUGUUGCUUAUUUAUAUACAUCUCCUGUUAAUGAGAAAGUGAAACUACUACCAUGAUAAUAGGUUUGUUAGAACAAAGGAUGCUUACAGAGACGUUCGAGCUUCUCCCUCGUGGCGGCGUCGUCACAGUUAGUGUUGUGGAGGUAGCUGUUGACGAUGUGCUCCUGGAGGAGCACUUGGUCGGGGAAGGCCUUGCCGAGGGCCAACACCGUCGCCUUGCCCCUGCUCGCACCCCCUGGCCCGCUCUCCUCUCGGCCUCCAUUCAGAUCCAUGUGUCCCGCAGACAUUUUGCUUCUCUUAGUAGCGCUUAACACAAAAACAAUGUUUUCGGCGUUUGACUUGGUUAUAGAGCUUCAUCGCCCUCGUGCUUUGGGGGUUUAAAUAUGGAGGGAGUGUAAUGUACAGGAGAUUGUUUGGUUGAAAGAGAUUUAGGCGUGAAUAAAAAUGGCUAUGGAGUGGUUGGUGGAGAAUAGGUGAGGUUUCAGAGUCUCUUGCGUGCGUGUAGUUUUUUAGUAGAUAGUAGUUCUAAAACAUGCUUUGUACACCCAGCAAAUAAUCCAUGACGUUCAAAAUACAAAUUCUCUUACAAAUCAAUCAACCAUGAAGUAACAUUACUUGUUAGUUACUUCCCAACAUUUGUAUAUCCCUAUUUUACAAAUAGGUUCAGAGAUUUUUCCGAAUAUAUCACCAUACUGAAUUUUUCUUCUCAGAUACUCGGAAAAGAUAAGAGUGAUUAUUGCCUACAAGGAGCUAAAAAUAUCUUCAUCUUCUCUCGGAUAUUACCAUAGUUUCAUGUAGGGCAUUCAAUUCUUUCUUGUACUGUCGACAGAAAUUUAAGGAAACAGGCCAAUCAACUCGAGAAAAGAUAUUCGAGCACUUGAUGCGAAUAUAAAAAACAUUUUCUUUCGCUCACAAAAAAGUGCAACUGUAUUCAUCAUCCAGUGGUAGGAUACUAAGGAGAUGAAAAUGAACAGUUAUAGUUACCUACAAAUGCAUAUACUCUUUUACAGUUUUCCACAAUAAACCACCAAUGUCGAUGUUUUAACAAUAAGAAUACUAAACUUCUUCAUGACAUUUAUCCACAUGAUUACAAGGAGAGAAGCUUCAAGUGAUAAGCAAUUCCAAGAUACAUGAUUUACCUACUAUGGAUUAGAAGUGAUUAAAAACUAAAUAACACCAUGGUUUGUGUAAUGCUGAUAUUUGAUAAAUUGAAGGACCAGAAAAUCCUCCUUGCGAACAUCAGAACAUCUUUCCAUUACAAUUAUAGAAAUUUCAUGGGGAGAAAGGAUUGAAUCCUUAAAUAAGAAUGACGUAGAAGUACGAAAACCACAGUAUCUAUGAUAGAAACAUCUCUACUGACCACCAAGGAGUACAAUAUACAUACAUAUAACAUCAGUUUUAUUUAGGUUCUCCAGUAAAUUCGGACUAAAAAUAAGUGACUGAUCAUCAAAGAUGCUACUUUUAAGUGCUUCAUAGUCUCCAUACCUCUUAAACCAAAAGUUGUCGCCUCGCAUCUGUCGGAACAACUCGCGCCUUAAUCCCCAAUUCAAAUCCUCUGAGAAUCAUGCAAUGGAAAAGCGCAGUGAUCCGAAUUACAGGAUUUAUGCAGUCUCUUCCUCCGGAUUAGUUACGUCGUCCUCGGAGCUCAAUCCAAGCUCCUUCUCCAGCUUCUUCCACCCGCCGACCAAAUCGUCGGGAAACUUCUCCUUCACCACCUUGAUCACCCCCUUCGCCUCCUCAACCUUCCCUUCCUUCGCCAGCCCCUCCACGAGCAUCUUCAUCGUUCUAAAGUCCGGCACUUUAUUCCUCCUCAAGCUGUCUCUAAACACCCCUAACCCUCCUUCGAAAUCCCCAUUUUGACACAAAUAUGCCAACAAUGUCUUAUAGGUGGCCGCAUUAGGAACACAACCCUUCUCCCCCAGAUGCUUGUAGAGCUCCUUCGCCUCGUCAAAAAGCCCAUUUUUGGAGUAGCAGGUCAUGAGGAAGUUGUAGGAGAUGGUGUCGGGCCUCGCUCCGACACUCUCCAUCUCUUUAAGGAGCUCCAAAACCUCCUCCGGCCUCCCAUGGAGCGCACGGUGCAUGACCCUCACAUUGUAGGCGGUGCGAUCGGGGGCGCAGCUGCUCAAGGCCAUCUCCUUCCACAGGUCGUCGGCUUCUCGAUCCUUGCCCUCCUUGUAGAGAGAAUCGAUGAGCGUGGUGUAGAUCACGGCGGUGGGCGCGAUGCUCUUCUCGUCGCGCAUUUGCUGGAAGGUUUCGAAGGCCUUUUGGGUUUUGCCGGAGAGGCAGAGGGCCUUGAUGAGGAUGCCGUAGGAGACGGCGUCGGGGACGAUGCGGAGCUCGGCGGAGAGGUCGCGGAAGAGGGCGGGGACGCGGCGAUGGCGCUUGGAGCGGACGAGGGCGGAGAGGAGGGCGUUGAAGGAGAGGGGGGAGUGGGGGGAGGAGGUGAGGCGGGGGACGUCGCGGAACGCGGCGAGGGCGUGGUCGGGGAGGGAGGCGGCGCCGUAGGAGGAGAUGAGGGCGGCGAGGUAGGGCUCGGAGGAGGCGAGGGGGUUGAGGGCAGGGUCGCGGCGCGCGUCGAGGAGCGCGGCGGCGUCGGCGAAGCGGCGGGAGCGGGAGAGGCGGCGCGCGGCGAGGGAGAGGGCGUGGAGGGAGGAGGCGGGGUGGGAGGAGGGUGGCUCCGACACGGAGGAGAGGAUCGAGAUGGCGCGGUCGGGGUCGAACUCGCGCCGGAGCCGGGACUUCGCGGCGGAUGCGGAGAGCGUUGUCGUCGGCGUCGGCGUCGUCGUCAUCGUCGUCGUAGAGAUGAGGCGGAGGAGGAGGUGGCGGCGGCGGAGAGAGGAGGAGGAGAGGAACGUCGCCAUUGUUGCGAGGAGGAGGUGGUGAUGAAGAGGGAGGAGGGAGACGAUGAGGGGUUUUUGGGUUUUUAGGGUUUGUUUGAGGGCGGGGAAUUUGCAGGAUUUGGGCCGUUCGGCUACGGUCCAAAUGUAUUAUGGGGCUGUUUGGGCCAUGUUACACAUUUGUCGAAGCGGCCCAUGAGAUAGGCCCCACAAGUUGGAGCAUCUGGUGAAAAUACCGAAUGAGACUGAGGGGAGGUGGAGGUAUAUAAUUUUUAUGCAUAUAUUAUAUAUACAUAAAUAUCCAAAGAAUUUUUAUGCAUACGUAUAUAUAUUUUUAAUCUUUUGGCAAGUAGUGACUUCAUUUUAAGAAAACAUCAUUCAGAAGAAGAUGCAACCAUAGUAUCAAACACUGCUGAAGAUGCAUUAACUAAAAACUUUCGAAUCCCACAAGAAAUAUCUAGAAUUCCAACCAAACAUGCAUUAUUACCUGCAUACUUUGGUCUAGUUCUAAAACAACUCAAACUGCUCGAGAGAAGUAGAACUAUAGAGAAGUCUACAAUUUCUCACUUGUAGUUUCACACAGCAGCACUAAAUGCAUCAAACUAGAAACUCCAGCUUACAAACUUCCGCUUUCACGGCAAGUCUUGUGCAAGAAUACUGCAUUCUAACGUGAUACUAGCACCCAUAACACGUAGAUUUCUCGGAACAAAAGUUAUCCAUUCUAGUUCAUUACAUCUCAAAAGCACAAAAAAGAUUACCAGGACCCAAGUUGCAUUUCUUCAAUAGUGGCAGCAGUAGUAGUAGUGUCGCUUCCCCUGUACAAAAAACAAGCCAUGAGCGAACUCCAGCUCUCCCGGUACAGUCACGUGACCAACCCGGCCCCCUUCCCUCCCUUCACGUGCGGCACGCACGGGGCCCACUCCAUCCUCGUCACUCUCUCCCACCACCUCCCCACGGCGCCGCCCCCUCCCCUCCUCGCCGCCGCCGCGGCGAGGCGCCGGUUCUCGGCCCUGAGGCGCUCGGCCUCGGCGCGCUCCGCCGCCCUCUCCUUCUCCGCCGCCGCGGCAGCGUCGCACCACGCCCUGUUCCUCCGCUCCAGCGCGUACACCCGCGCCUGCAGGCCCUCGAUCCGCCGCCCCAGCGCGCACACCCUCCGCUCCUCCCGCAGCUCCACCACCGCCCGCGCCAUCUCCGCCGCCCUCCGCCGCACCCACCCCAGCUCCGCCGCUGCCGCCGCCGCCUCCUCCUCCGCCGCCGCCGCCCGGAACCCUAGCCGCGCGUUCUCCCCCAGCAGGACCAUCCGCUCCGACUCCAGCACCUCGACCAGGCUCCCCUGACGCGGCGACGAGCUCGGCGACGACGAGGUCGAGGUCGAGGUCGGGGGCCGGGGCGCGGUCGGGGUCGGGGUCGGGGUCGCGCGGCAGGGGUUGGAAGGAGAGGGCGCUCUCGGCGUCGGAGAUCUCGGCGGAGGCGGCGUCGUCGUCGUCGGAUUCGGAGGGGAUCGGGGGGCGGAGGUGGUGGUGGUGGGAUUUGAGGAGGGAUUGGGAGUAGCGAUCGGCGAGGUGGAGGUAGCGGAGGUGGAGAUCUUGGAGGAGGGCGAGGAGCUGGGGCCGCUUCUGGUAGUAGUUCUCCGCCCUCUCCGCGAACGAGUGCGCCGCGUCCUCCUCCUCGUCCGGUAAGCUCACCGCGAGUGAUCGCACCCUCUCCUCAAUAUCUUUUUUUUUUAAAAAAAAUUUGAAAUUUGAAAUCAAUAUAAAUAAUUAAAUAAAACAAUGGGUCAAAAAAAAAAUUAUUAUGCUAAGAAGAUUAUUAACCACUAUUCAAACCGCAGUUAGUAAAAAACCAGAAAUUAUUGAGUCGCCUCAAUAAUAUUCUUAUUAAAAUUUAGUAUACAUUCUUUUUUACAGAAUAUGGUAAGAAAUCGAAAGAAAGAAUUGACAAAAUGAAUAGGAAUAAUGAUAUAAAUGUCUCAAAAAGUAAAAAAAAAAAAAACUGUAGGGAAUCAAUAGAUUAACGGUCUUCACGCUUUGUCCAAAAGCAUUUCCUUUUGACUAAAAGAGGUAAUAAUGGCUCGGCCCCUCGCCCAUGUGCCACUAAAUCACAAUUCAAAUUUCAAACACUAAAAUAAAUUAGUGACAAAAAAAAGUAAUUAUCGAUUAUAAUGAUAUAUUAUAAGUUAAAUAUAUUUUUUUCCCGUAAAAGAAAGGGAUAUUAUGGUUCUUUAUUUCUGUAGCGCAGAGGGAACCGAAUUAGAAGCAAAGAUCUCGUGAAUAGUAUUGCGAUCAAAAGUUGCAGAAAUAGGAUUUAUCUUCUCUCAGAAAACGCAGUCUAAAGAUAUUCUCAUUUAAUGGCAUUUAAUGGCCAUGAUAGCAACUAUUACACUCCUCAGUCCUCGUGCAGUAAAUAAGAAAAAUGUGGGAGGCGGUUGGAGAGAGAAAAUAAAAAAGAAAAAAGAAAAAGAAAUUUCCUCUCCUCUUUUUUCUCUUUUCUUCCAUCCUAACGAAGUCCAACUGAUCUGUAAGCAGUGAGACUACAGAUCUCAUCCGGAAGUGCAUAGAUGAAUUUUACAUGUCUUAAUUCUAUUGCAUUAUCUUGCAAAACAAUCAACUAUCUUAGAUUACAUAAGAUUCAGAAACAGAAAAACAGGUAUGCUUAUUUGAAAUAAGAACUCAAAAUUAUGAAAGAGGGAGAGAGAGAGAGGAAGGAGAGACCUUGGAGCGCGGCUUGGAGCCAAGGAGGGCAGGGGGAGGAGGAGGAGCGGAGCGCGGGGUGACACGCCGCGGCCGCGUUCGCCGCAGCGGUGGUCUUCGCCAUGCGCGGCGCCCCCCUCUCAAAAGCGCGGUUCGCAGAAGCGCUUUUUGGCCGGAGCAAAUGCGAGGAGAGGAGAGGAGAGGAGAGGAGAGGAGGAGGGGAAGCGCGAGGAGGAUGAAAAGAGGGGCAAGCAACGUCUUUUGCUGCGUACCCACACUCUGCUGCUGUUGCUGCAGCUGCUGCUGCUCCCGCCGAGACAGAGGAUACGAAACCAGCAAACAAUAUACACAGCUCAGCAAACCCUCUGAAAUCGAUUGAUCGUGACGCGAUAUAGGCCAAAGUGUCAGCGGCAUGGCUAACAGUAGCCUCUAUAAAGGGACAAAUAAAAAAUAAUGCAUUUCUAUCUACACGACAAUAUAUUACGUAUUUAUUAUUUUUUUAAAAAAUUUAAAUAAAAUUAUCCGCCUUUUUUCUAGAGUAUUCAAUACAUAUCUCACUAAUCUACUUGGUAAAAUUUUAAAAAAACUUCAAAUUUCAUUUCUCUGAUUUAGUUUUUUUAUUUUAGUAUCCAUAGUUUUUUUUAAUUAUUUUUUUCGUUAUUUUUUUUGUUAAAUCAGUGAUAAAGUUAAAACUAAAAAUUAGAUAAAAUAUUUAAAAUUUUUUAUAUAUAAUUUAACGAAAUAUUAAGAAAAGAGCUGACGAAAUAAUACAAAAUAAACCAAAAAGUACUAAAUUAAUACGUUUUAAAUCAUAUAGUAUUAAAAUGAGAAAAUAUGAAACCGAAUAGAUGAUAUUUGAAGUUUAUCCUAAAAUUUAUUUACUUACCACAUAAUAUGACUAGUAAAAGAAUCUCACAUACUAAAUAGAUGAGAUCUAUAUCACAUACAGCAAAAAAUAUGUAUGAGUAGCCUUGCUCAAAUUUUAAAUAUUAUAUAAAAUUUAUUAUAUUGUGUAAAUUUUACCCACUAAAUUAAAAUUUUAAAAUAUUUUUAUAUUUAAAUCUUUAUAAAUUUUAAUAAUCUACAAAUGUUUUCUUUAACUAGUGAGACAGGCACUGUAUUUUACUUCGUAAAUAAAUAUUAAUGAUAAAUAUAAUAACAAUAAUAGGAUAAAAAAAUUGUGCGCGACUUACGAGGCACGGCACCGUCAAACAGAGAAAGUGUCCGUGGUGCGAACUUUGUGUGUGGAGGGUGUUUAUGCUGAAUAGGGUUGAAAUUAUUUUGAAGAAAAAUUAAACAGUGUUAUUAAAUACAAAAUAUCUCUGUAAAAAAAAAUUGUAAAUAAAAUAUAAACGAGUGUUUUUUUUUUUUUUCCGAAUAGAUUUGCCCACAGGAAAAUACAGGUAUCCGAAGAUUUAUUAAAAAAUGGAAAAACUUCAAAAAACCCCCCUGUGGUUUCGUGCAUUCUCACUUUGCUAUCCUGUGGUUUAAAACGUAUCAAUUUACCCCCUGUGGUUUUAUUUUUAUCUUUUCGAAAGCUUUUUCGUUAAUAUUUCGUUAAAUUAUAUACAAAAAACUUCAGAUAACCAUCUAUAUUUAUCGAAUAGUCACUUUAGUAUCCUUUAAUUUUUACUUUGUCACUGAUUUAAAAAAAUAAUAAUAAUAAAAUUGAUAACAAAAAGAUAAAAACGAAACCACAGGGAGGCAAAUUGAUACGUUUUAAACCACAGGGUAGCAAAGUGAGAAUGCACGAAACCACAGGGGAGUUUUUAAAGUUCUCCCAAAAUCUUAAAAAAUAUAUAAUAAUUC
rnacentral:lncRNA from 1 species